rnacentral:rRNA from 1 species
UACGUAUGGUGCAAGCGUUAUCCGGAUUUACUGGGUGUAAAGGGUGCGUAGGUGGUGAGACAAGUCUGAAGUGAAAAUCCGGGGCUUAACCCCGGAACUGCUUUGGAAACUGCCUGACUAGAGUACAGGAGAGGUAAGCGGAAUUCCUAGUGUAGCGGUGAAAUGCGUAGAUAUUAGGAGGAACACCAGUGGCGAAGGCGACUUACUGGACUGCUACUGACACUGAGGCACGAAAGCGUGGGGAGCAAACAGG